CGGUUCAAGAUAGACGUUCUGAAUAUCGGCUAUAUUCAAGCGGGGGGAGGGGGGGUGGAAAUAGGUGGAAGGCGGAAAUAAAGAGGAGCCGGAAGGCAGGAGUGGGGCUGCGGAGCCGGUGGGGAAACAAGUGGCUCGCCUGGCGGGCGAGGACAGAGCCAAGGCUGGGCAGCUAAGCGCGGAUCGCGCCUGGAGCUCCUACAGGGAGUGGGUUGGGGGGGCACCGUCUCGUGGGUAGGCCCCCGCUGCUUAAGCCAUUUGGGGACAAAUCCGACGGAGCCCCGUUGGGCUUCUGGGAUUUGAACAAAAGGAAUGAAAUCAAGGCCGAGGCUUGGAGUCUAAUAUAAACAGAGAUCCAGCUUCGAGAAGGGCUUUCACAGACGAGCGAUUUCUGCGGGGUGGGUGAAGGACUGGGAACUCAGGGAGCCCCCCGUUUAUUCCUUCCUUCUUCUGUUGCCUCCUUGUCGAAGAAACUUUUGAGAGGGGGCAGCAGAAGAGCUGUGUGGGAAACCCAGGGCACCAUGUGCAUGUCGUGUAGGCAUGCAUGCCUUUGUGUGGCAGAGAGCGCACCCUAGCCCUGGUUCACAGAUUAAAAGUUUGCUAACCACGGAUCCUAAGGUAAGAGGAGCUCUGAAGGAGCAGACAAAUGACCCAUCCAGUCCAGCAUCCUGCCCUCGUAUAGUGGUCAACUGGAUGCCUCUAGAGGGCCCACAAGCAAGACCCUAGUGCAAUAGCAGUCUCCCCAUUUCUGAUUCGCAGCAACUGGUAUUCAGAGGUAUUCUGCCUCCAAGCGUAGAGCUAGAAUGUGGCCACCAUGGUUAGUGGUCACUGGCAGCCGUAUUCUCAAUGAAUUUGCCUAAACCUUUUUUAAAGUCAUCCACUGCUGGUGGCCAUCACUAGAAUCUUGUGGAAGCAACUUAAAUGCACUUUGUGAAGUACUUUUUUCAAUCCUGCAUCUUCCAACAUUCAGUUUCAAUGGAUGGCCCCAAGUUAUAGUUGAAUGUGGGAGACAAACUUCUCACUGUCCAUCUUCUCCACAGCAGAUAUGUGUUUGCACAUAUCAUGUCAUGUUUUCUCAACCAUAAAGCUCCAUUUGUGGUAGCCUUUCCCUUAAAGGAGGGUUCCUCAAGACUGUUGAUCAUUUUGGUUGCCCUUUCCUGAACCAUUCCAGUUCUACAAUAUCCCUUGAGGUGAGGCAACCAGAACUGUACACAACAUUUCAAAUUUGGCCACAUGAAAGAUUAGUAUAAUAUAAUAAUUAUUGUGUUGUUGGAUUUCAACCCCUUUCCUUAUUAUCCUCAACAUGGAACUUGCCUUUUUCACAGCUGCUACACUGGGUUAACAUUUUGAGCUAUUCACCACAACCCCAAGGUCUUACUCUUUUGUCAGUCACCAUCAGUUCAGACCCCAGUAGCAGUUCCAUUAAGCCAAUGUGCAUCAUUUAUACUUGCUUACAUUGAACUGCAUUUGACAUUUUAAUGCCCAGUCUUCUCUGUUUGGAACGAUCCCUUUUUAACUCAUUGCAAAUCCUUUUAUUUUAAACCCCAUGAACAGUUUGCUAUCAUCAGCAAACCUGGCAACCUCAUUGCUCUCACCCUUAACUCCUGGUUGUUUAUGAACAAGCUAUAAAGCAAGGGUCCCAUACCACUUCCCAGGAGACUCAUUUCCCAUAUUCCUCCACUGGGAGAACUGCCCUUUUAUUCUACUCUCAGCUUCCUGUUCCUUAAGCACUAACUGAUCCAUAAAAUGACCCGUCCUCUUAUUCCAUGACUUCUAAGCUUACUCAGGAGUCUUUGCUGUGGGACUUUCCACAUGUCAACUGAAUCACCCCUAUUUUAUGGUUGUUGACUCUCAAAAAAAACACUCUAAAGGUUUAGUGAAAGGGCUUACCUUUACAGAAGCCAUACUGGUUCCAUUUCAUCGAGGCUUGUUCUUCAUGCUUGGACAUUCUUUAAUGAUGUUUUCCAUUAAUUUUCCAAGAACAGAUGUUAUGUUAACCAAACUGUACUUUCUCAGCUCCUCUCUGGAUCCCUUUUAUAAAUGGUGUUGCGUUGACCACUGUCAAGUCCUCCGGCUGAUAUUAGCAACAAGUUAGAUAUUCUUGUUCAAUCAGCAAUAUUUACAUUUUUGCCUUCCAUUUCCCUUACUGGCAUAGAAAUGGUCAGAUUCUGAGGGAAGGCUGCAUCAGGCAGGCACAUUGAAUUGAUGUUUUUUUAAAAUGCAUCUUCAGCACACAAAUAUAUUUUUAACUGAAGAAAACACUGACAUCCCCCUUGCCUAGAUAGAUUUGGUAUAACCAGUCUAUGAACCUUUGUUAAUUUAUUCAGAAAGAGAUACAUGAAAGUAUUACUCCCUGCCCUUAAGAUGCUGUGAUUAUUCAGCAGUGAGGGGGAGCAAUUUGGCAUAUUUUUAGAGGCACUGCUCUCCAAUAUUCUGCAUGUUCCAGGAUAGAGCCAGGUAGACUGUGGGUCUCAGCAUUGGCUCUCAUUAAGCCUUGCUUCUAAAAAAAGUAUACUGGUCACUGCUCCAUAUAUAAAUUGGUGAUGUGCAGACUGGCUGGCAUAGGGAUAAAAAAGUGAGGAGACAGAGUUGCUGUUUGAAAAGCUGUCCAGUGGGGGAUUCUUUUUGCCAAAGUGUUCUUUAGUAUUUAAGUUUCCAAAACAGCAAUUCUGUGGCUGACCCAUCCAGAUCUGUAAGGCUUAGAAUGCCCUUCUAGACACCUUGUAGGAUGACUGGCAUUUCUUAUUCUCUUGCUCGUAGUUGGUACUGUACCUGUUCUGCAACUUUACCACAAGGAGUGUGCCUGAGCCAGCACUUUUGCAAUUGAUUUUCUCAAGCCAGGGAGACUUGCUUACUGGAAAGUUUUCCAAACCAAUUCUGCCCAUCAUUGUAUUUUGCCCAGCAGUGCUUGCCUCAUGAGUGAAGAGAUCAUCCACCCAGCUGCUCUGCAACUAACCCCUGUUAAAAGACCCCUCCGGCUCCAGAUUUACUGCUGAUAUAUAAAGUUUGCUCAGAGCCAGAAGAUGAUUGUGCAGCAGGGGCCUUUCAGCCUGCAGGUGCUUGCCUGAACUGUCAUAAGGCAUUUUGGUUCACUUGCCCAGAAGCUAGCUGAUUGAAGACAAGCCCUCAUAUCCCAAAAUACACAGAGACCCAGUGAUACAUGCUCAGCCAUGGGCAGGACUCCUGGCAAGCACACCAUUUCUCCAGAAAUGCCUGAGCUGGAUUAGGACCAGUCUUCUCAUUGAGCAGCAUGCGCCGUUUAUCUACAUGCGGAAAAAGCAGCAGGGCAAGUGUGCUCCAGGAAUAAAAGCUCCGCUGGCUUUUGGCUUCUGUUUGGAAAUACUAGAAACCCACUGUCUGAUGCAGGUGUCAGUUGGCACCUGCUGUAGGAAUUGAAUUGGUAAUUGUUAUCUAAUUGCACUGUUUUACAUACUGCAUGAGAGAGAAAGGUGGAGCUGGGAAGGAUGAACACUGAGCACAUUUCUUCCUUUCCUCUCUUCACCUUCCUGCGCAGCCAGCCCCAAAUCUCGGCCCAUGUUUCUAAUGCCCACUCUGCAAUGCUGUCCCCCCCUCCCUUAGGAAUGCUCCCCCUCCCCACGCUUCUGUUCAGUCUUUGCUGUGUCUACACUUUCUCAAAACUGCGGAAAUUGCAGGGAGCAGCGAGGUCUGGACUGAAAGUGCUGAUGUAGGGAAGCAGCGCUCACAGCUGUUUCUUGCUUAGGUGCCUGGGACAGGAAUGCUGCGGCAUGUUCCAAGCCCAGAGAUGAGGCACUGCAUAAACUACUGUAGCAAUGGAGAAAAGCCUGAGCCAGAUCCGUUUUCCCCUCCGGAGUUCCAACAGGAGACAAGGCACACACCCCCCUUUUUGUUUCACACGCACACUCUAUUGAUACAAGAUCUCAUGCAAAAGUGAGAGGAAGCUGAACCUGAUUCUUGAAGAAAAGACCACCUUACACAAUGCCUGACACAAUGCAGCAGCUUGCUGACACUUCCCUUUUCCCACCCAC